rnacentral:rRNA from 1 species
GGAGGAAUAUUGGUCAAUGGGACGGAAGUCUGAACCAGCCAAGUAGCGUGCAGGAUGACGGCCCUAUGGGUUGUAAACUGCUUUUAUGUGGGAAUAAGGUCAGGGACGUGUCCCUGUUUGCAUGUACCACAGGAAUAAGGACCGGCUAAUUCCGUGCCAGCAGCCGCGGUAAUACGGAAGGUCCGGGCGUUAUCCGGAUUUAUUGGGUUUAAAGGGAGCGUAGGCCGGAGGGUAAGCGUGUUGUGAAAUGCAGUUGCUCAACAUCUGCACUGCAGCGCGAACUGUUCUCCUUGAGUGCGCAGGAAGUAGGCGGAAUUCGUCGUGUAGCGGUGAAAUGCUUAGAUAUGACGAGAACUCCGAUUGCGAAGGCAGCUUUCCAGCGCGCUA